CCGCCUCCCAUGGGGACCCGGCAGGAGGAGCAGGGGCGGGAGCCCCGAGACUCGGGCGGCGCGAAAGUGGCCACAGAGCAGAACGGGCACAGUGAACACUUCCAUGGGACUCCCUCUGUGUUGAAUUGAUGCACCAGAGGCAGCAGACAUAUCCGCAUUUCAGGUGUCAUCUAAACCAAUAAAAGAACUCAACUGGCCUCAUACCUCCAGACCCUGAGUAAGGAACCCAGGUUAGCCAGAACAGACU